AUUGAACGCUGGCGGCGUGCUUUACACAUGCAAGUCGGACGAGUGGAGAAAGGGUGAGUAAGGCAUCGGAACGUACCGAGUAAAGGGGGAUAACUGUCCGAAAGGACAGCAAAAGCCGCAUAAUAUUCGAGCGGCCGACUGUUGAUUAGCUGGUUGGGGGGGUAAAGGUCCACCAAGGCGACGAUCAGUAGCGGGUCUGAGAGGAUGAUCGGCCACACUGGGACUGAGACACGGCCCAGACUCCUACGGGAGGCAGCAGUGGGGAAUUUUGGACAAUGGGCGCAAGCCUGAUCCAGCCAUGCCGCGUGUCUGAAGAAGGCCUUCGGGUUGUAAAGGACUUUUGUCAGGGAAGCGGUACCUGAAGAAUAAGCACCGGCUAACUACGUGCCAGCCGCCGCGGUAAUUC
rnacentral:rRNA from 1 species